UCUGGUGGUGUUUGGCAAUGGUAGAACUCACACUGGUGAGGUAGAUGGAUCCGGUGGUUCUAGACUUGCCAACUACUGCCUGAGAGC
ensembl:miRNA